GGGCUGCUGGCGCAACGGUAGCGCGUUCGACUCCAGCUACUGUGCGAUCGAAAGGUUAUCCGUUCAAAUCGGGUGUGGCUCA
rnacentral:tRNA from 1 species